CUUCUCUGGUUCCCUGACCUCAGUGAGACAGCAGCCGGCCUGGGGACCUGGGGGAGACACGGAGGACCCCCUGGCUGGAGCUGACCCACAGAGUAGGGAAUCAUGGCUGGAGAAUUGGAUAGCAGAGUAAUGUUUGACCUCUGGAAACACCAAAUUUCUUUUUUCAGUCACUUACAGGGCUUCCGGUCAAAAUUCACUAGGUAGGAGGGUCAUCAGCUGGGAAGAACCGGCGCCUGGGAAACCUGGCUGGAUAGGUAUGGGGGAGCCAGGCCAGUCCCCUAGUCCCAGGUCCUCCCAUGGCAGUCCCCCAACUCUAAGCACUCUCACUCUCCUGCUGCUCCUCUGUGGACAUGCUCAUUCUCAAUGCAAGAUCCUCCGCUGCAAUGCUGAGUACGUAUCGUCCACUCUGAGCCUUAGAGGUGGGGGUUCAUCAGGAGCACUUCGAGGAGGAGGAGGAGGAGGCCGGGGUGGAGGGGUGGGCUCUGGCGGCCUCUGUCGAGCCCUCCGCUCCUAUGCGCUCUGCACUCGGCGCACCG
rnacentral:lncRNA from 10 species